UCUCCCCAAAAUUCUGCUCCAGAUUUCUUCCAACCUUUUUCUCCAAAUCAAGCAUCCAUCCAUCUACCCUUCAUCUUCAUCUCCUUAAAGGUACGUUUUCUUUUUUCUUUUUUUUUUACUUCAACCCGACAGCUUCUCUCACCCAGCCUCUCUUGCUUGCUUUGCCUCCGGCCACUUUCAUUCCUCCGCUCUUUCAUGUCAGUCAACUGAAGUCACCAGUUCCUCCGUUCUUCUCGAUAGCCUCUAUCUUGUUUAUGAUUUCAGUUUAGGGGUUUGUUCUGUUCUGUUCUUUUUUUUUGCUUUUCUUCUCUAUGAUUCUUGUUUAUAGCAGAGAAAUAACUGUUUGUCUUAUUGUUACUGCUAGUGGAUGUUCAUUAAUUUAUUGAUUUCGGUUCCUCCCUAAUGCUUUAUAGUUCAUAUUUAGUUCAUCUAUGCCUUUUUUAUGGUUCUAUGUUUUGUUGACCUAGUUUAGGAUAUGGAUUAAAUUUGGGAUAUCUUCACAUUUGGUGGUCUUUGUUGAUGCUAUUCUGCACUGAACCAAUCUAUCUCUAUGUUGCUUGAUUUGCUUUGUCUAAACCCUAUACCAGUGGUUGCAGGUUGAUAGGCCACUUGGCUUAAUUACUUACUGCUUGUUGUUCCUCCUGAUUACUAUAUUUGCUUGUAAUUUCUGGUUCUUGCUUUUGUAGCCUCAUUGCAUUCUAUUAUUUCUACUAAGCACAAUAACUCAGACUUGACUUACUCUCUUGCUAUAGUAAUCUGGAAAUAGAUGGAAACAUAUCUAUGAAAUGUUGUUCUGUAUUUUUCUUCACAAGCACAUUAA
rnacentral:lncRNA from 1 species